UAGGGAAUCUUCGGCAAUGGGGGGAACCCUGACCGAGCAACGCCGCGUGAGUGAAGAAGGUUUUCGGAUCGUAAAGCUCUGUUGUUAAGGAAGAACGAGUGUGAGAAUGGAAAGUUCAUGCUGUGACGGUACUUAACCAGAAAGGGACGGCUAACUACGUGCCAGCAGCCGCGGUAAUACGUAGGUCCCGAGCGUUGUCCGGAUUUAUUGGGCGUAAAGCGAGCGCAGGCGGUUAGAAAAGUCUGAAGUGAAAGGCAGUGGCUCAACCAUUGUAGGCUUUGGAAACUGUUUAACUUGAGUGCAGAAGGGGAGAGUGGAAUUCCAUGUGGAGCGGUGAAAUGCGUAGAUAUAUGGAGGAACACCGGUGGCGAAAGCGGCUCUCUGGUCUGUAACUGACGCUGGGGCUAGAGAGCGUGGGGAGCGAACAGG
rnacentral:rRNA from 1 species